rnacentral:rRNA from 1 species
GACGAACGCUGGCGGCGUGCUUAACACAUGCAAGUCGAACGAAGAGCGAUGGAAGCUUGCUUCUAUCAAUCUUAGUGGCGAACGGGUGAGUAACGCGUAAUCAACCUGCCCUUCAGAGGGGGACAACAGUUGGAAACGACUGCUAAUACCGCAUACGAUCUAAUCUCGGCAUCGAGGAUAGAUGAAAGGUGGCCUCUAUAUGUAAGCUAUCACUGAAGGAGGGGAUUGCGUCUGAUUAGCUAGUUGGAGGGGUAACGGCCCACCAAGGCGAUGAUCAGUAGCCGGUCUGAGAGGAUGAACGGCCACAUUGGGACUGAGACACGGCCCAGACUCCUACGGGAGGCAGCAGUGGGGAAUCUUCCGCAAUGGACGAAAGUCUGACGGAGCAACGCCGCGUGAGUGAUGACGGCCUUCGGGUUGUAAAGCUCUGUUAAUCGGGACGAAAGGCCUUCUUGCGAAUAGUGAGAAGGAUUGACGGUACCGGAAUAGAAAGCCACGGCUAACUACGUG